ACAUGCGAUCUAAUGUCUCCCUCGCGGCAUCUUGCCUUUCUCGUGGCCCUUGGCUUCAGCCUCCCGGCGGUGGGGUUUUUCCAGCCUACCUUGUCCAGCUGCAGUUCUCAGCGUCGGCCCCUAGAGGCCUGACGUCGGUCAGCCGGUGCGGCCCUCCCACGCGUGGGAGGGAACCCUUCGGAUGCUCCCGAGCGAUAUGUAGAUGAGAUGGGAGGGCACUAUGCAGAUGAGAUGGGCGGGCCUCGCCGGGCAGGCCGCCUGGAGCUGAGGUGGGCGGGCUGCGAGCGGGCGGUAUGCAGAUGAGGUGGGCGGGGCCCGCCCGCGCGGGCGAGGAGCGGCUCCGCCGGCGGCCGCCGGGAACUGGAAGGCGCCCGGCCCUUUCUUUGACUGGAGCGGACCCGCCGGACGCAGCUGCCUCGCCAGCCGGAGCCGGCGCGAGCCGCAGCGCGGCGGACACCCUGUCCGAGGCCGGCCACCUGGCCGCUGCCGGAGUCGGCCGAGCAUGGGCAACCACUCGGGGCGGCCCGAAGAUCCCGAACCAGGUCUGUGCUGUCGGCGGGGGUCGCGCCGCGCCCCCUCCCCGGCCCGGCGCCCUUCCCCCACCCGCCUUUCGGGCCAGCGGCCGCCGCGCUGCCCCGCGGGCGCCCAGGGGCGAGUGGAAAGGGGCUGUGACGACAACCAAACGGACGGGCAUUCCAGCUCCUCGAGAACUUUCAGUAACUGUCUCAAGAGAGAGAACUGUGCCACGCGGUCCCUCCAACCCCAGGAAGUCGGUGUCCAGUCCAACUUCUUCCAGCACACCCACCCCUACUAAGCACCUGAGGACCACUUCCACGAGACCCAAACAAGAGCAUGAAGGUGGGGAAAAGGCCGUGCUCGAGUCCCAAGUUCGGGAACUUCUGGCAGAAGCCAAAGCAAAAGAUAGUGAAAUUAACAGGCUUCGAAGUGAACUGAAGAAAUGCAAGGAGAGAAGGACUCAGAGCAUCGAAGGAGCUGAGGCGUCAGACUCCAAUCUAGACGGAACGUCCGCCUUGCCCAGUGACUCAGAACCUUUGAUAAGAGCUCUUGAGGAGAAGAACAAGAAUUUUCAGAAAGAGCUUGCAGAUCUCGAGGAGGAAAACCGGGCCUUGAGGGAGAAACUGACUUACCUGGAGCACUCCCCCAAUUCAGAGGGAGGCGUGAGUCACACUGGUGAGAGCAGCUGCCCAACAUCCAUAACUCAGGAGUCAAGCUUUGGGAGCCCGACUGGAAAUCAGUUGUCCGGUGAAAUCGAGGAGUACAGGAACAACAUACAUGAAAAUGCAUUACGGACGUCGGGCUCUUCAAGCAGCGACGUUACCAAAGCUUCUCUGUCCCCGGAUGCCUCUGAUUUCGAGCACAUCACCGCAGACACCCCCUCCCGGCCCCUGUCUUCUACCAGCAACCCCUUUAAGAGCUCCAAGUGUUCGACCACCGGCAGUUCCCCUAACAACGUGAGCGAACUUUCCCUGGCUUCCCUCACGGAGAAGAUACAGAAGAUGGAGGAAAACCACCACAGCACUGCAGAGGAGCUGCAGGCCACUUUGCAAGAAUUGUCAGACCAGCAGCAAAUGGUGCAGGAACUGACAGCCGAAAAUGAGAAACUCGUGGACGAGAAGACGAUUUUAGAAACGUCCUUCCAUCAGCAUCGGGAGAGGGCCGAGCAGCUCAGUCAGGAAAACGAGAAACUCCUAAAUCUCUUACAAGAGCGAGUGAAGAAUGAGGAGCCCAACACGCAAGAAGGAAAGAUCCUUGAGCUGGAGCAGAAGUGCGCAGAAAUUCUUGACCAGGGCCGCUUUGAAAGAGAGAAGUUGCUCAACAUUGAGCAGCAGCUGACCUGUAGCUUACGGAAGGUUGAGGAAGAAAACCAAGGCGCUUUAGAGAUGAUUAAACACCUGAAGGAAGAAAACGAAAAACUGAAUGGGUUUCUGGACCUGGAACGGCGUAAUAACGGCGUGAUGGCCCAAAGUCUGGAAGAGUGUAAAGCCACGCUAGAAGGGCUGCAGAUGGAACAUGGGUCGAUGAAGGCUCGUUUGGAGAAUGAGAAGCAGAAAGCUAUGGAGACCAGCCCCAUGGGGCACAUGGCAGAGGGUCGUGAGGUUCAAGAAAUGUUGAGAGUUGCUCGAGCUGAGAAAGAUCAGCUGGAACUGUCUUGCACUGAGCUCAGGCAAGAAUUAGUGAAGGCCCAUGGUGAAAUUAAACAUGUCUCGAGCCUCCUGGCCAAGGUGGAAAAGGAUUAUUCUUACUUGAAGGAGAUAUGUGAUCAUCAAGCAGAACAACUGAGCCGAACCAGCCUGAAACUGCAAGAGAAAGCAUCAGAGAGUGAUGCGGAGAUUAAAGACAUGAAGGAAACCAUAUUUGAAUUGGAAGAUCAGGUGGAGCAGCAUCGGGCUGUCAAGUUACAUAACAACCAGCUCAUUAGUGAGCUAGAGAGCAAUGUGAUGAAGCUGGAGGAACAGAAGUCAGACCUGGAAAGGCAGCUGAAGACUCUGACUAAGCAGAUAAAGGAGGAGACAGAGGAGUGGAGGCGGUUCCAGGCGGACCUGCAGACGGCGGUGGUGGUGGCCAACGACAUCAAGUGUGAGGCUCAGCAGGAGCUGCGUACCGUGAAGAGGAGGUUGCUGGAGGAAGAGGAGAAGAACGCCAGGCUGCAGAAGGAGCUGGGGGACAUGCAGAGCCACGGCAGACCUGUGAACGAAGAGUCGGAGCCGCCCGAGGUCGAGGCUCCCGGCCGGUGGCAUGGCAUCUACGUGAACAGAACGUCUCCAACACCUUCAGAAUCUGCGACCACCGUUAAGUCCCUCAUCAAGUCAUUCGACUUGGGACGGCCAGGUGGAGCCGGACAGAAUAUUUCUGUCCAUAAAGCCCCCAGAAGUCCUCUGAGUGGGAUUCCAGUGAGGACCGCUCCCGCCGCUGCUGUCUCCCCAAUGCAGAGACAUUCAACCUACAGCAGCGUUCGGCCGGCCAGCAAAGGUGGGACUCAGCGUUUGGAUCUUCCAGACCUUCCCCUCUCAGAUCUCCUAAAGGGAAGGGGUGAGGACCUGAAACCGGACCCUUACCUCCGGAAGAGUCCCUCCCUGGAGUCUCUGAGCAGACCCCCUUCUCUGGGCUUCGGGAGCACGAGGCUGCUGAGCGCCUCCACCGGGGGCUUGAAAGCACAGAGCAAACUCAGCGUGGAAAGAAGAGACCCGCUGGCUGCCUUGGCCCGGGAAUAUGGUGGAUCCAAGCGCAAUGCUCUCCUGAAAUGGUGCCAGAAGAAGACAGAAGGCUACGCGAACAUUGAUAUCACCAAUUUCAGCAGCAGCUGGAGUGAUGGCUUGGCCUUUUGUGCUCUCCUUCAUACCUACCUGCCUGCCCACAUCCCAUAUCAGGAGCUGAACAGUCAGGAGAAAAAAAGGAAUCUCUUGUUGGCAUUUGAAGCAACUGAAAGUGUAGGCAUCAAACCCAGCCUGCCAAACUGUGGAAGGAGCUGAGAUGCCCUGCAACAGUUGAAUGGAUAAAGAAGAUGUUGUCUAUAUACACAAUGGAAUAUUAUUCAGCCAUCAGAAACGAUGAAUACCCACCAUUUGCAUCGACAUGGAUGGACCUGGAGGGGAUUAUGUUAAGUGAAGAGCUCAGUGAGAUGCUGUACACAGACCGGCCCGACUGGCAGAGCGUGAUGCAGUACGUGGCCCAGAUCUACAAGUACUUUGAGACGUAAAGCCCAAGGGCCCGAGAGACACCGCCCACCCCAGCCUGCAGCUGGUCCUCGAAGCACCUGGUCACUUUCCACAGGCCCUGCUCCAUCCACCACCGCCCACAGCGCUCCAUCCAGGGGGACCAACACGCAAACAAGAAACGGAGCGGAGUUCCGCCGCACAUCCGCUUUAAAUCCAGAUGCAUUUGGAGUGUCAGCUGGGGAAGCUUUGCUCCCUGCAUGGGCCUCUGUCCUUCAGCCCAGGCUCCCUCCACGAGAACCCAGUAGGACAUCUCAGGUCACGCAGUGCAACUUCACCCGUGAGCUGCCGGGAUCCACCACCAACAGCACUUCCAAAGCAGUCAUCUUUUCACUAAAAACCCGGGCUCCUGCCUUUAGAAAAACUCUGCCCUUGCCACCGCCCACCCCCUCCAAAAAAGAAACACACAGCAAAAUGCAAAAAGACAAACAUUUCGGUCUCGCACCGCCUGGAAACCCACGAGCCCUUCUUUUUGCGGAAACGUGCUUGCGUGCUAGACAAUAGUUGUGACACCUAGAACUUGAUCACGCUUUUUAGAUCUCGCUGUCACUGAUUGGAAUCUCUGGAUGGAGGAGAAGAGGUGUGAGAAUACAAAGCAGCCCCUGGGUCGCUGGGGGCGGUGUCCCCCCGUGGGGUGGUCCGCAGACAGAAGUGUGCAUCUGUGUGCUUGCACAUGCUCACGCUCAGAACCUCCGUGCUGAAAGGGAGACGUCAGCCACUGUCGCCCCCUCCCUUUGUGUGUCGUCAUCCCCUCUCCCCCCCCUUCAUUCCCAUUGCCCUUCAUGAAAGCCCACACACAUUCGGCCCGGUGCAGAACGGUCCUCCCUUGCCCACCCAGGUCUUCGUGUGUUUGCACACACAGGCCGAAGAGGUGUGUAUGUUUGGGGAUACCAGGCAGACAGCAAAUGUGAACACUAUUUCAACUCUGGACUUGGGUUUUAGUGCCCCAUCAGGCCCUUCGCAUUUGCAGGGCCAAAGCAAGCCCUGAGGGGUGGGCAGAGAUGGCUCCACGUCUGCUCUCUUGUAAGGGCCGACAGCAGAGCUCCCGCCAGAACAGCCCCGGAGGGAGAGGGGGCUCAGAAGUGCAAGUGGGCACCCCAGGCAGGUGCUCGUGGUGGGCACGUGGAUGCACGUUGCGUAGCCCAUGAAGGUGUGGCUCCCCUGGGCAGUCAGGUGACUCGUCAGCACCAAAGGGCUGCGCUAUCCUCUGUCACUGGCAGUUACGGGAUGGCUGCUUGGCGGCCCAGGCCCUGUCCCGGAAGAGGCAUGUGUUAGCCCCUCCCUCCGGACCACCUCGGGAGAGGCGGCUGCUGGGCUCUGCGGAGGGUCCAUCCCUCCUUCUCAAGCCUCCACCCAUUGCCUGCUGAGGGUUCUCCUUUGUGGCUCCAGGUCAGAACCUUCCGGGGAGCUGGUUCAAAGCACACACCCCUGGCCUGCCCCAUCCGUUGAAUCAGAGCAUCUGGAACAACGGGAGCGGGGAUCUAGUCUGUAUAUUUUCAGAGUUCCCCUGACAACCCCUGAGAGGAGAGACCGCUUUUGAUCUCGCUCCCCAGGGUGGGGCCGUGAGCACAGCUUGGGGCUGGGCAGUUUGGUAAAGGUGACCCCCCCCACUCAGUGGCUCCUUUGUUUUCACAUGGGAGUCAGAGGCGCAGUCUGAACAAAUUUAAUUUACUCCUUCCUGAUGCACAUAUCCAAAUGGAAAGUACUCCCGUUGUGUUGCUUCACGUGUCUGUCCUUUGUUGACAUAACUGAUGAGUUUUCAUUACCCCGGAGCUUCUGCCUUGCUCUCCAUUGCAGUGGGGGAAGGUAAUAUCCCGAGGAGUUGGGUUGAACUGUCGGUCUAUGUGUUUAAUCUGGAUUUACUGCAGGGUUUGUGUGGGAGAGGCAGUUGAGGUGCUUGGGAUACCUGGAGGGGGUGUUCAGCGUUAUUGGCACCCUGUUUUUAGUGAUUACUGUAAAUGAGUCAGAUGAUCCAGCUCUCGGCCAAGCAGUGUCAUGCACUGUGGUCGUGGUGCUCUUUCCCCUCGCCCUACGCUGAGCCUGCUCCCUUUAGGGGAAAAAGAAGGAAAGAAAUGUCCUAUAAAAGAAAGGUCAUGUGCCAUUUAUUUUUAUAACUCAAAGAAGCUCCUUGGCUACCAUUUUCUUUGCCAGUGGGCAUGCUUCUAGAAGGGGAAGCAUGUGUCCUGCUCAUAGAAACACAAGUGGUGUUAGGGGCCCGUCUGGCCCUCCCUGCCGGGUCCCGGGAGAGGGACUGAAGGUGGCUGGGCUGCAGGACCAGGCCUUCCAGCACUUAGGGGACCUGGCGGUCGGGGGGAUGCUGUCCGGGCCCUGGGGCUGGGCCACAGGAUGGGGUUUUCAGAUCCAUUUUUAGCCAGAGCGCUCCAAGCACAAGGUGAACGUGGAAAAUUGAUCAAUUGAGAAAACAAGGUCGCGUCAGCCAAUUGUACCAUUUCCAGUUUUCUGUCCUGAGGCUUGCAAUAUCCACUUUUGUUCUCAUCUCCCUUCAGCCAGUAGUCAUUUAAAGUCAUGCAGUGGUUCUGCAGAUCCCCCCCCCCUUUUUUUAAUGCAUUGUUCUUCUAGAAAAGAUAGAUGCAAAAUGCCAGGCCCAAAAGAACGGAGUUUUUUAAAGACCUAGAGAGAGGUCCAUGGUUUUCAUCAUUGUGAGAUCUUCCAUGGACAGGAGCUCUGUUGGCUGAGGGUUAGCACCAUGGCCCUGCUCCCCAGGGUUCUUGUUUUGAGGAACCCGGCAAACACCCACUUCUCUUGUCCUAUUCCUUCUUGCUUCAGAAAUGAGGUUAGUCUCUGGUUUUCGUUCUUCAUUCAGCUAUUGUUUUGGAGCUUUUGUUGAGACCAUCCGAAGCAUCCCAAAGCAAUUAGCCAUCUGGAGGUGACGAAUAUCUGCAGGAUUCUCUUCCCCCAGACAACACUGGCCAUUUCUCUGAAGCUUCUUCUCCCACUUCCCCAUGGGGGGGUGGAGGGCAGGUGUCCCACUGGCCUGUGGAAGGAGGGGACUCGGGCCCUUCUCUGCACAACCACUUGCCAAAUCCAGCUGCAGCUUCUCCCAUUCCCAAGCUUGUGUGCCAUUUUGAGAUGAGCCACCAAGGACAUGCAGUAAGAGAUAUAGAGCUUAGCUACCUUUUUAAAAAAGUAUUUUUAAUAUCUCCUUUGCCCAAGCUCCCUGGGUGUUUCACUUUUCUUGACCCAGGUUAGACUUUGGCUAAGUCUGGAACAUCCUCCGUAGCUCCCUAAUUUUAACUACAUUAGUUGGAUGCAGUUGAUACAUCUGUGGCCUCGUUCCUACAAGAGCACAUCCAGGACGUGACACGCCAACAUGGAUGUAUUUAACUAUUAACAUGGAGAAGUGUAUGAUGUAUGACUGUGUAAUAUUUCUAAUAAAUAUAUUUUGUUUCGGUCUGAUUGUGAAUUUUUCCCAGUGACGUUUACUGUUACUCCUUUAUCAGAAUGCCUAAGCCUCCAUUCCAACUAGCACCUUCUCGUCUUUUAUUCCUCGUUAGGCCGUGAUGCCCACUGAGCUGCUCUUGCCGGCGGCGUUACUGGAAGUUUCCGGAAAGGACUGGGGUCCCGAUGGCUUUUCCGCCUCCUCGCAUUCACAGCCCUCUUGCUGGGACUGCGGUCACUUGGGCGAGUGACCGUUCAGGGUUGACACGGGGUGCUACAGAGCUGUGCAGAUGAGCCCAGACCGGGCCUGGAAACCAGAGGUGGCGAGGGCGCCAAGGUUGAGGAGACAGAGUUCAGGUGAACUUGAACAGACGCGG